ensembl:ncRNA K06C4.24 ncRNA
CCACUAUGCGGUGUGAAGGAGGAGACACUGCGGGGACACAUUUGUCUUGUUAUCUUUGUUCUCACUCACUCUUACCUACUCUCUAACUUCCCCGCCUCUCCACCAGAACCUUG